ACUGGAUUCAUUUAAAACAAAUAUAAUCAGUAGGGUUUCCAUAACAAACAAGUUUCCUAAUCUCUUUCUCAUUUGUGCCUCCUUUCAAGAUGGUGCUCCCCUUCUUCAACUGUAGCUUACUUCAACUGCUACUAUGGAUAAUCAACCUGGUGCCUCCUUCUUCGAGAAUCUCUUGGUCUUUCAGCUUAAAAAACUGAGUUCUCCAGUGUAUGAGACCUUGAAAAGAUUUUUGAUCAGCUCUGAGAGAUCUAGUCAACCGUGAUAAGCUGCUACCUCCAGAUAUGGAAGGAAUGAAGAUAAGGGAUGCUUGGACCUACGAAGAUUCUAGUAGCUGCUUCACACCCAGUUUUAAGAAUCUCAAAUUGACCAAUAGACCCUACCAUGAUGUUGGGAAUCCAUUUUGUUGGUUGUAGUAGACUAGGCUAGCUAUAACAUGCUCUUUUUUUGUUGUUUUUGUGUCUUGUACAUAUGUUGCAUGUAAACUAAACAGUCUAAGCCUCCCUUUGCCCUCUAUCCUCUUAAUGGUGUCCUCCCUUUGCCCUCUAUCCUCUUAAUGGUGUAAUUCUCAAGUAAGGGCACUGCCAUUUAUCACUGAACAGUAUGGCUUUUCCUAUGUG